GUGUCAAGCUCAACUAGUCGGACAUCGUUUCCCUCUUUUGAAGCUUUUCAGUUUUCAGACCUGGAACCGCGAGUCAAGCUCGAAAGAUUUGAGGAUGUACUGAGGAUUGAGAUAGUAAGAUGACUUACACAGUAACAGGACGAUUGCUGCUGCCAAUUAGGGCAUCUUUUUUUGCUUUCUCUUCCCCAAAUUUCUCUUUCUCGCGUUCAAGAAAUCCAUUUUAUGGGAAGUGUGGACAAUUAAAGACAUUGAUAAAGGGUAUUGAACCCAUACUACAGGACUGUGCAUCAAAAUUCCAGUAUAGACUAAGUAUACAAAGGAAAUGUGUUCAAAGUCUUUGCUUUUCAGGAGGGAAACUAAUUAUGGCAAGUAUGGUUGGGCUGCCCGGAUGGAUGAACCUUCACCCACAUGUUUCUUAUGCUUUGGAUGAAAAACAUCAUGCAGAUUGGGGUGGUAAUUUGUACCCAUUAGAAGAUGACUCAAACAACUUCUGGGCAUUGGUGAGGAAAUUUUGGCUUCCCGCUUUUCUGGUUAUGACUGUGAUGAUGGGUUUGGAUCAUCCUAUUACUCUUGCAGUUAAAAUUAUCUUUUUCCUACUAAGCACAAGGCCCAGUCCUUUGUCAGUUUAUCUUUUUGUGGAGCAGUUACGUCGUCAAAUAAUGCGCCAACAACCUUACUUGUACAAAUUAAAGUCAUUAUAUGCAAGGAAAGUUGAAGUUGAGGACUAUGUGCUUUUCUGUCUAGCUAGAGUUGAAUUGAGGAAUGAGAAGAUCACUUUGAUUGGAAUUCUGGGUAGUUGGUGGGUUUUGCAGUCUUCACCGUGUCAAGGAGGAUAUUCUUUCUUUAAGAGUAGGGUGAAGGACAAACUUCUUUCUCAUUUGCAAAUAAUCAGAUGAACUAGAAAAUAGCUGUCAUGUUCAGCUCCCGUGUAAAGCUCAGAUAAAGGAAAUGAUAUCUUUGCAGCCAACCUGAAACUGUUGGGAUAAAGCUUAUUGAGUUGGUUGAAGUAAUAUGACUCGGUACUAGGCAUCACCUGGAUGAUGAGUUUUAAGGCAUAAGACUCAAAGUAUCAGUUUUCAAUUUGUGAGAUUUCUCACGUUUUACUCCUGUAAUCGAGCCGCUCAUGUUCUAGCCCAACAUGUGUUGAACAUCCAAUUUGCAUGCACCUGGUCUGGAACUCCUGAAUUUUUGUGCUGUAAUUGCUUCUGGAAUGAUGUAACUCAUCAUUUGGUUGAAUGCCCAAGGGCUUAAAAAAGGGGGAAUGGAUUAAAGCUUCCCCUACUGUUUCACAAUCCCUUGACGUAUCUUUUGCAAUAGAAAAAUGUGUAGUCUUGGUCUGUA